GCUGAACAAAGUAAGGAUCGUCGCGCUUCUGAAGCACUAAAUCCACCAUUGGUAGAAACUGCGCGCGCGUGAUUUAUCCCAAGAAAAUGAUUUCUACAAUUAGUUUUAUAUCGCUUAGUGGCGUGGCGAAGGGGAAUUAAAGCUACCGUAAGAGUGAAGCUACAAGAUAGCUUUUAUAACACGAUUAUCCUGUGGCUCCAGGUACAGGAAGCUUUAAUCUCGUUAAAGGACGAGCUCAAAGGGACCUAUUACACGCUCGAAGCAUUAGACAAACAGAUCCGGCAACAAUUACUGAAUGAUCAUUUCCCGCUCAAGGAAGGCGACAGAUUUCUAAAAACGACGAACACUAUUAGAUUUUGAUCAAUCGGUACAAGGAUAUUUUUUAACGAGGAGAAAACUUUCCUUGUCUGGUGCAACUUGGAGGAUCACAUGCGUCUGAUAUCGAUGGAACGAGAUGGUAACCUCGCGGCGGUGUACGAGAGACUCGUUAAAGUGGUCCAAGAAAUCGAGAAGAAAUUGGAAUUCCUGCAGCGCUGAGGACUCGGCUUCCUUAUAUUCUGCCCUACGAAUCUUGGCACAGCCAUAUGGGCCUUCGUACACGUUCUCCUGCCAAAAUUGAGCGCGGAUUUUACCAACGAUUCGAAAAGAUCGGCAGUACACGGUCUUCAGAAAUAGCAAUUUCUGUGGGAAAAGACCAUCACCAGCUUACUUUAAGUUUCACUCACCAAUAUUGC